UUCCCAUGCCGGGAAUCGAACCCGGGCAUCUUGGGACAGGUAAUCAUAGCCACUAGACCACGUGGGA